rnacentral:hammerhead_ribozyme from 1 species
AUACUGCUGAAGAGUCCAACAAUAGGACGAAUUAGCCAUCCAGUGU